GAUGAACGCUGGCGGCGUGCCUAAUACAUGCAAGUCGAGCGAACAGAUGAGGAGCUUGCUCCUCUGACGUUAGCGGCGGACGGGUGAGUAACACGUGGAUAACCUACCUAUAAGACUGGGAUAACUUCGGGAAACCGGAGCUAAUACCGGAUAAUAUAUUGAACCGCAUGGUUCAAUAGUGAAAGACGGUUUUGCUGUCACUUAUAGAUGGAUCCGCGCCGCAUUAGCUAGUUGGUAAGGUAACGGCUUACCAAGGCGACGAUGCGUAGCCGACCUGAGAGAGUGAACGGCCACACUGGAACUGAGACACGGUCCAGACUCCUACGGGAGGCAGCAGUAGGGAAUCUUCCGCAAUGGGCGAAAGCCUGACGGAGCAACGCCGCGUGAGUGAUGAAGGUCUUCGGAUCGUAAAACUCUGUUAUUAGGGAAGAACAAAUGUGUAAGUAACUAUGCACGUCUUGACGGUACCUAAUCAGAAAGCCACGGCUAACUACGUG
rnacentral:rRNA from 1 species